CCAAUAGUUACAUAGCCUGCUCCAAAUAUUUUACCAACCUGUCCAAGAGCAGUAACGUGACAUCUGUGUCUGCCCUGAGUCCCUUCUUUCAGAGCUCUCCAAUAAGGAAAAGCUACACCAAUGGUUAUCCGUGUUUGUCCUCGCCAUUGAUUGCUUUUUUUUUUUUUAACUGUAAUCCUUCCUCUGAACGCUGAGUUUCUUUUUUAUCUGGAGCAUCAGAAACUUUUUUGCGUCUUAGAUUUUACUCCUAGUUGCUGUAGCCUACUGCAUUGCUACGGUAGCUCCAUAUUCAUGUAGAUAGAGUUGCGUCCUCUCCGUUCAAUUUCGUUUGAGGUGGCUUUGUUGGGAUGACUGCAUACAGUACAACGUUGCCAAAGCAUAUUAACACAAACUAUACAAUCAUAAUAAAAACAAAAUAAACAAUCUAUCUUUAAAGAUCAAUGUCACAGAGUAUCUUACAUGAAUACUCCAUUGUGUUUCAACCCUAUCUCCAUGUCCUUAAUAAUUGUACAAAUGAUCAAUAUUUGGUGCAAAAUCCAACAACUCUCUGUCUUUUGCAGCCAAUUCAGAUCCAUAUUUUCUGUGCACUGACCAUAUAAAAAUAGAAAUCCCCUCCAUCUGCCACUACAGGUCAAAGUCAGACCUGGGUUUGGGAUUUGUCAAUGAAUCUUGUCCACACGUAAAUACUUUCACAAUAAUAAUUGCCAAUGUGAUGUUAAUGAAUAUAUGCAAAUGUAAAUAGAAAAGCAUCAUACUAAUGCUAUAUGCUUGCAACAAUAUAAAGCCAGCAGUGCAAUGCUGCAUGCUUGACAGCUAUAUGUGGCUAACACACGCUCAGUUUCAUUAAAUAGUAGCAAUGAUAUGGGGAUGUUCAUUUUUUCAGCUGAUGUUUGCCAGUAACAUAAAAGUACAAAUUGUUUUGUUGUUUUGCAUCCAUACAAUACAUGCAAUGUUAUGUUGGCAAAUUCAAACAAAGCAUUCUGAAGUAUAGAAAGACAGACAAACAGGUAAAAAUCUGUGCUGGAGAGAAGCUUUUUCUGGGUUGGACGAUCAUGCAGUGAAACAUUUUCUGGGGCCCAACCUCUUUGUCCUUGGCUAGAUACCCAGGGUGAAUGUAAGUGAACACAGGAGGAUAUUGAAGACCUUAAAAUGAGGAACAUAUAACAAAUGUGCUAAUGAGUGAGCGACCACUGAGAAAAUAGUGCCAUCUUAAACCCCCCGACCUUUUUGCACUUCAAAAUGUGCUGAUUUACAAAGCUGUAACAAAAUAAAACCAUGCUGCAAGUCAAAACAUCUGUCAUGAGGCAUAAUUGGGUUCAUUAGACAUCUCACCCAGAGUUCCCAAUUACAGGCCUCAAUAAUUAAUUGCACUUGAAAUUAAAUGUAUUUUCUCAUCAGCCUUUAAUUAAAUAUGGCCCUCAUUCUUGAUUGGAAAUUCUGAUCUUAGGGUGAGGUUUGGUCUCCAACAUGUUUACUUGUGGUGCAUCGGGAGAUGGUGUGAGUUUUGCAGGGUAUAAUUACACAGUCUGAUUAAGCACUAUCAGGCUGAUGGGGCUCUCUGGCUUUUGGCCAAGUCACAAGCGAUAAACUGUAGACACAUACUGUAUCUCUACUUCUACAGCCAAACCACACUGCUGAUGCCAAAAAACAAGCCAAACCAGAACUUGCUCACACCCACUGUCAUCGAUUUGAAAUUGCUGGUUACGUAGAUAAUCACCAUGAGCAGAAACCAGCUGAUUCUUUUUUGUAAUCCAGCGCUCUUCUGAAUUUCAAAUGAAACAAUUUAAAUGGCUCUGGUGACAAAAUAUGAAUAAUCGGAUUUUAGUUCAUUUGGCCUCAAGGAGAAGCAGAAACGAAAGCUUUCGGGAUUGUUGCGGCAUAAUGCAUAUCUAUAACAAAUGUCCUCAAUGAAGAAUUAAUUUAUCUCAUUGAUGAAGGUCAUGCAGAAGGAUCUGGCUGUUCUUUCAUUGACUUCAUGCAUAUGAACUACAUUGUUCUCACCAUCCUUCUUUUUGAAAAACUCUUUCUUUUUCUGUGUGAGACUGAAUUCAACCAUGUGAAUGUGGAAAAGACUUCUAGAUUCCCUGAUAUGAACAUUCACUGGCCUCUGUCAGUCUUAAUAAUAUCAAAAAAUGUCAGUGACUAUCAAUCGGAUUGGAGCAUUUCCGGGAUUCUUAGGUCACUGAGGUAGCUCUGUGAGAUAGUUAACGAGCAGGUGUUCAAGGAGCAGGGGGUUGGACUUUUAGUUUCUCAGUGUCUGCAGUUGAAGAGACAGUUCAUAUGGAGUUUUAAGAAGCUGCUUGGUGCUGUUGUGUGUGUGCAUGCAGCUAUUUGUGGAAAGAUGGAUAUGAAGCUAGUGUGAGAUGUGCGUGCAAGAAACAUAGAAAUGCAAAUACAGUAUGUGAUCACCAAGCAACAUCAACAACAACUGACAAAUGGAAAUCAAGACGGACAGCGUGGGACAAAGAAACCAAGGCCCUUAUGGAACUACUUCUACAAAGGGAAUACCUGUGCAGGAUUAACUUUGGAGCUGGAUGACGUGUAAUCAUUCAUUAUACCAUUAACUGUCCUUCUACCAGCUGAAAUUGAUGCUCAUUUUCCUGUUGACUGAACCGUCUCACAGAACUGAAGGAGAAGACAGUAAUUCUGUUCAUGGCGCAUUGUUUAGCCAUGCCAAAUUAGCUAUUAGCUAUUCUCCUGUCAACAACAGUUUAAUUUAUGGCAAUAUGUUUACUAUAUACUAUACACUAUAGACAAUAGUGUGGU